GACGAACGCUGGCGGCGUGCCUAAUACAUGCAAGUAGAACGCACAGUUUAUACCGUAGCUUGCUACACCAUAGACUGUGAGUUGCGAACGGGUGAGUAACGCGUAGGUAACCUGCCGGGUAGCGGGGGAUAACUAUUGGAAACGAUAGCUAAUACCGCAUAAUAUUAAUUAUUGCAUGAUAAUUAAUUGAAAGGUGCAAUUGCACCACUACCAGAUGGACCUGCGUUGUAUUAGCUAGUAGGUGAGGUAACGGCUCACCUAGGCGACGAUACAUAGCCGACCUGAGAGGGUGAUCGGCCACACUGGGACUGAGACACGGCACAGACUCCUACGGGAGGCAGCAGUAGGGAAUCUUCGGCAAUGGACGAAAGUCUGACCGAGCAACGCCGCGUGAGUGAAGAAGGUUUUCGGAUCGUAAAGCUCUGUUGUAAGAGAAGAACGGGUGUGAGAGUGGAAAGUUCACACUGUGACGGUAUCUUACCAGAAAGGGACGGCUAACUACGUG
rnacentral:rRNA from 1 species